rnacentral:rRNA from 1 species
GCUUAGCCUUAAACUCUUAAUUACACCACAAACGCCCGGGAACUACAAGCAAAGCUUGAAACCCAAAGGACUUGACGGUGCCCCACAUCCCCCUAGAGGAGCCUGUCCUACAAUCGAUAACCCCCGUUAAACCUCACCCUCUUUAGCACACUCAGUCUGUAUACCUCCGUCGUCAACUUACCACAUGAGUGACUUUUAGUAAGUUUAAUGUCCUUACUCGUCAACACGUCAGGUCAAGGUGCAACUAAUAAGAGGGGAAGAGAUGGGCUACACUCUCUAUUCUAGAAUAUACAGAGAACUAUUAUGAAAGCUAGUUCAAAGGUGGAUUUAGUAGUAAAAUGGGUCAGAGAGCCCCUUUUAACUCGGCACUGGGGUGCGUACACACCGCCCGUCACCCUCUUCGUAGCACUGGUUAAAGUAUAUAACCGAACUCCGCAUCGUAGAAGAGGUAAGUCGUAACAUGGUAAGUAUACCGGAAGGUGUGCUUGGAAU